UACGUAGGGCGCAAGCGUUGUCCGGAAUUAUUGGGCGUAAAGAGCUCGUAGGCGGCUUGUCACGUCGGGUGUGAAAGCCCGGGGCUUAACCCCGGGUCUGCAUUCGAUACGGGCUAGCUAGAGUGUGGUAGGGGAGAUCGGAAUUCCUGGUGUAGCGGUGAAAUGCGUAGAUAUCUGCAGGAACACCCGUGGCGAAAGCGGCGCGCUGGACCACUACUGACGCUGAGGAACGAAAGCUAGGGGAGCAAACAGG
rnacentral:rRNA from 1 species